rnacentral:rRNA from 1 species
CAUUACCGAGCUCGCGCCCCCCGGGGCCGACCUCCCACCCUUUGUCUACCGUACCCGUGUUGCUUUGGCGGGCCGCCCUCGUGGCCACCGGCCCCCCGCUGGUGAGCGCCCGCCGGAGACCCAAACCCAGUCUGCUGUCCGUGGCAUUGUCUGACCAAACCUGAAAUCGUUAAAACUUUCAACAACGGAUCUCUUGGCUCUAGCAUCGAUGAAGAACGCAGCGAAAUGCGAUAAGUAAUGUGAAUUGCAGAAUUCAGUGAAUCAUCGAAUCUUUGAACGCACAUUGCGCCCCCUGGUAUUCCGGGGGGCAUGCCUGUCCGAGCGUCAUUACACCCCUCAAGCCCCGCUUGGUGUUGGGCCAUGCCACCCGGCAAGCCUUAAAUCUAGUAGCGAUCCCGUCCCGGGCCCCCGCGCAGUAGCGAUCCUCGCGCGGGCCCGGGCGGGUGUCGGCCAGCAACCACUCUCUUGUUG